GUGCUCACUUCGGCAGCACAUAUACUAAAAUUCGAAUGAUACAGAGAAGAUUAGUAUGAUCACUGUGCAAGGAUUAUACACAAAUUUGUGGAGCGUUCCAUACUUUU